rnacentral:lncRNA from 1 species
GGUCCUGAACAUAAAGUUAAACCCUAUUUUGCAGGAGAGUCCUGAACAAAGGGUAGUAUUUCAUUUUUUUAGGAGGGUCCUGAACAGAAAGUAAAAUCCCAUUUUUCAGGAGGGUGUGAAUAUAAAAUGAAAUCCUAUUUUUCAGUAGGGUCCUGAACAUAAAGUAAAAUCUCAUUUUUCUAGAGGGUCUUGAACAUAAAGGAAACUUCCAUUUUUUAGGAGGGUCUUGAACAUAAAGUGAAAUCCCAUUUUUCAGG